UACGUAGGUGGCAAGCGUUGUCCGGAUUUACUGGGCGUAAAGAGCGCGCAGGCGGUCGUCCAAGUCGCGUGUGAAAGCCCCCGGCUCAACUGGGGAGGGUCACGCGAUACUGGUCGACUCGAAGGCAGGAGAGGGUAGUGGAAUUCCCGGUGUAGUGGUGAAAUGCGUAGAUAUCGGGAGGAACACCAGUGGCGAAGGCGGGUCUCUGGACAGUUCCUGACACUGAGGCACGAAGGCCAGGGGAGCAAACGGG
rnacentral:rRNA from 1 species